UUAUGACCAUAUCAUGUUGAAACACCAGUUCCAGUACGAUCACCAAACUUAAGCAACGUUGAGCCUGGUCAAUACCUAGAUGGGUAACUGCUUGGGAACACCAGAUGCUGUAAG